rnacentral:rRNA from 1 species
GACGAACGCUGGCGGCGUGCUUAACACAUGCAAGUCGAACGGUGAAGCGCCUUCCUUUUUGGUGGGUGUGGAUGAGUGGCGAACGGGUGAGUAACACGUGAGUAACCUGCCCCCUUCUUCUGGAUAACCGCAUGGAAGUGUGGCUAAUACGGGAUAUUCUGGGUCUGUCGCAUGAUGGGUCUGGGAAAGAUAUUGUUUCGGUGGGGGAUGGGCUGGUGGCGGAUUAGCUUGUUGGUGGGGUGAUGGCUUACCAAGGAGGUGAUGGGUAGCCGGCCUGAGAGGACGAUGGACGACAAUACGAGGAAGAAAACACGGACAAGACUACGAAAGGAAGCAGUAGGGAAUAUUAGAGAACAAUGGGAACAAUCAUGAAGCAGCGACGCGUCGGGAAAGAAGGAGUCCUGCUUGUUGUGAACUUCUUUCGCCAGUGAAGCAGUCCUGCCUAAUAUGUGGGUGGGUUGACGGUAGCUGGAGAAUAAGCACCGGCUAACUACGUG